rnacentral:rRNA from 1 species
CCUACGGGAGGCAGCAGUGAGGAAUAUUGGUCAAUGGCCGGAAGGCUGAACCAGCCAUGCCGCGUGAAGGGCAGGGACCUACGGGCGUUAAACUUCUUUUGUGCGGGAGCAAUAAUGGUCACGUGUGGCCAGACGAGAGUACCGUACGAAUAAGCAUCGGCUAACUCCGUGGCAGCAGCUGCGGUAAUACGGGGGAUGCAAGCGUUAUCCGGAUUUAUUGGGGUUAAAGGGUGCGUAAGCUGUGAGGUAAGUCAGCGGGGAAAUGCCCCCGCUCAACGGGGUGAAGUGCCAUUGAUACUGCCUUGCUGGAGUGCGGGUGCGGUGGGAGGAAUGUGUGGUGUAGCGGUGAAAUGCAUAGAUAUCACACAGAACACCGAUUGCGAAGGCAUCUCACGAAUCCGCGAUUGACGCUGAUGCACGAAAGCGUGGGUAUCAAACAGGAUUAGAUACCCUUGUAGUC